ensembl:lncRNA
CGCCUGGAAUGUGAUUUUUUUUUUUUUCCCGUCAGGGAAACGCGUUUUCCCUUCUCGAAACGCGAUUGGGAUAGUUUUGAGUAGCAAUUGGCGGUUUUGAAAAAACCUGGCAACACUGGAAAGCACUCGGAACUCCGCCAAUGUUUCACUUCCUCUGCCGAGGAAACUCCGAAGCCUGUGUAUCAUCCAACGCUACUAACGACCAAAAACAUUCACGACACCAGAGCAAAGCCAACUAUCUAAUGUGCAUCUUGAGAGGAAUGUCAAACUCGCAAUAGCUUGCAGGAGACGAACUUAACUGCAAGUAACCCAGUGAAAAUCAGGCAAUAGCCUAAACGACAGUUUGCGCAAAAAUGACAGCGGCGGUAUCUGCAAACACAAAAUAGGAUGACAUGGAGCGGUCUGCAAAGAAGCAGAUGAGCUGAAUCAGGGCAUCUGUGGCUGCGUAUCAAGUCACAAAGAGGAGGAAGACAACAAGGGGGCAAAGAAGAUUUUCUUGUGUGGAAGAAGUAGGUUGUAUUAAACUUGCAUAGAAGUGGAGCUGUGCAAAAGUGAAGGACAGUCUUAUAAAUUAUGCAACAGGCAAACAAACAAAAAUGAGAG